UCAAGACAAAAACUUAUUCUGAACUGGUUGACUUGAAUAUCUGGGAACACGAGGUGUGUGUCCAAUUUUUUAGGGUCUAUCUAUUGUCUGUCAUCAUCUUCUGGGGUGCUUAAUCUUGGCAUUUCUUUGCAGAAAACUAAGUUUUUCUAUACUAUUGUCAUCACAAUAUUUAGCCCCGACCAAUGCUAUUGGUUCUCUUCUUGUGUAACUUGUCGUAAAUAUCUCCCCAACUACACAUUUUUUGUUCUGUACUUGUGGUGUAAAGAAACACUGACAUAUUGGUAAACUCUGUUGGUAAUUUGACUUCAAAUUUGCUUAUAUGGCUUAGGAUCAAUGCGACAACCUUGGAUUCAUAAGGUGUGCUCAUGUUUUAGGGACAAGCUUUUCGGCGGUGGAUUCCACAAUGAAGAGAACAACUGGACCAUCUCUAAUGGUGCGCUCAAUGGCAACAUGGAGCUUCUACGUCUGAUGCGCCAUUUUUCCUUACUGAGGUUGAAAGAUAUUUAACCUUUUAAAGGGAGGAGCACGGAAAGAAACUUCUCAAUUUGGUAUCAUCACAUUGAGUUUGACAGAUCUGGAGAGAGCUUCGAAGGUGCUGCCGUGUUUUUGUUGUUUUGCUAGCUGUUGGCGUUGUAUUUCAAGAAAAAAGGAACACAAGCAGAAUUUUUAUAGUUGAGAUUGUUUCUAGAUUUUGUUGUGCUGAUUUGAGAGAGAUAUAGAGGAUAAAGAUAUUUGGUAGUUUGGGGAACUCAUUAAAAUAUGUAUCGUUGGAAUUUGCAGAUUCAUAAAUUUAGUGAGGCCAUUGGAGUG